rnacentral:rRNA from 1 species
CCUACGGGCGGCAGCAGUGAGGAAUAUUGGUCAAUGGCCGGAAGGCUGAACCAGCCAUGCCGCGUGAAGGUCAGUGCCCUAUGGGCGUUAAACUUCUUUUGUGCGGGAGCAAUAAUGGUCACGUGUGGCCAGACGAGAGUACCGUACGAAUAAGCAUCGGCUAACUCCGUGCCAGCAGCCGCGGUAAUACGGGGGAUGCAAGCGUUAUCCGGAUUUAUUGGGUUUAAAGGGUGCAUAGGCUGUGAGGUAAGUCAGCGGUGAAAUGCCCCCGCUCAACGGGGUGAAGGGCCAUUGAUACUGGCGUGCUGGAAUGCGGAUGCCGUGGGAGGAAUGUGGGGUGUAGCGGUGAAAUGCAUAGAUAUCACACAGAACACCGAUUGCGAAGGCAUCUCACGAAUCCGCGAUUGACGCUGAUGCACGAAAGCGUGGGUAUCAAACAGGAUUAGAUACCCCAGUAGUC